CUCAUUAAAUCAGUUAUAGUUUAUUUGAUGGUCUCUUUUGUCUUUUUUUACCUACUUGGAUAACCGUGGUAAUUCUAGAGCUAAUACAUGCGCAAGGUCCCAAGCGCGGAGAGUAAGGCUUCACGGCUUUAUUCUUGCAUGCGCAGCGGGAUGUAUUUAUUAGGUUAAAAACCAGCACGCUGGCGACAGCGUCCAAUUCACUGGUGAUUCAUAGUAACUCUUUCGGAUCGCAUUCAUG
rnacentral:rRNA from 1 species